rnacentral:tRNA from 1 species
GGCUCCGUGGUGAAAAUUUUCAUAUCAAAUUGCAAAUUUGAAGAUACACUUUUAUCGGUGUCGGGGUUU